GACGAACGCUGGCGGCGUGCUUAACACAUGCAAGUCGAACGGUGAACGAGGGAGCUUGCUCCCUCCGGAUCAGUGGCGAACGGGUGAGUAACACGUGAGCAAUCUGCCCCGAACUCUGGGAUAAGCGUUGGAAACGACGUCUAAUACCGGAUACGACGCGGGAGGGCAUCCUCUCCGCGUGGAAAGAACUUCGGUUCGGGAUGAGCUCGCGGCCUAUCAGCUUGUUGGUGAGGUAACGGCUCACCAAGGCGACGACGGGUAGCCGGCCUGAGAGGGUGACCGGCCACACUGGGACUGAGACACGGCCCAGACUCCUACGGGAGGCAGCAGUGGGGAAUAUUGCACAAUGGGCGCAAGCCUGAUGCAGCAACGCCGCGUGAGUGACGACGGCCUUCGGGUUGUAAACCUCUUUUAGCAGGGAAGAAGCGAAAGUGACGGUACCUGCAGAAAAAGCACCGGCUAACUACGUG
rnacentral:rRNA from 1 species